UACGAAGGGGGCUAGCGUUGCUCGGAAUCACUGGGCGUAAAGCGCACGUAGGCGGAUUGUUAAGUCAGGGGUGAAAUCCUGGAGCUCAACUCCAGAACUGCCUUUGAUACUGGCGAUCUCGAGUCCGGGAGAGGUGAGUGGAACUGCGAGUGUAGAGGUGAAAGUCGUAGAUAUUCGCAAGAACACCAGUGGCGAAGGCGGCUCACUGGCCCGGUACUGACGCUGAGGUGCGAAAGCGUGGGGAGCAACAGG
rnacentral:rRNA from 1 species